CCUGUACUCCCUCCGUCCGAAAAUACUUGUCAUUGAAAUGGAUGUAUCUAGAUGUAUUUUAGUUCUAGACACAUCCAUUUUGAUGACAAGUAAUUCCGGACGGAGGGAGUACUUG
rnacentral:pre_miRNA from 1 species